CUCAUCUGUAAAACUUUCUGCAUUUCACCAUGGAAGUGGCAACCCACUUCUCCAGGACCCUUCUCUCUGCAGGAGAUAACUUUUCUCUUUCUUUCACUUAUUAAACCUCCACUCUUAACUUUACUCUUCGUGUGUCCACAUCCUUGAUUUCCUUGGCAUGAGUCAACAAACCUUGGGUAUUACCCCAGACAAAUGAUGCCACUUUAGUUUCCACUUUUCCAGACACAUUAAUGUAGGUGCAACAGGUUUUGCUGACGACAGCACAGACUCCUCCUUGUUCAGCUAGGAGGUAUUCCGGGGCUCAUCUAUUAUCAAAAGCCAUUCCCGCUAGUGAGUCCAAAGACUUUUCCAGCACCGAUAGACUUGCACCAGUUUUUGCUAAGGCUGUUUCAAGGGAGGAGGAAGAAGCAAAGAAGUCUAAGUUCUUUGGAGUAAGAUGCUCUCAAAUGCCUAGGAACACUGAUCUCCUAACUUGUCUUCCUGCUUUGAGUGUCCCUCUGAGGUUAAAGUUCCUGCCUCAGUCUCCAACAAUGGUCAUUUCCACUGCUGCCCACUGAGGAGUGCCACUGGAGAUGAUCUCACAACAAAGAGAGGGGGAGAGGCUGCUCCUCCCGUCAGAAGAUGGAGACUGCUUCCUUGCCCUUCAAUCCAAGCUGGCUCAUGACUUGCUUCAAUGAAUAGGAAAUGGCAGAAGUGAUGCUCUGAGGCUUCUGGGCCUAGACUUUAAGAGGUGUUGCCCCUUUCCUUUUUCCCUCUUGGGAUCCAGCCUACCACAUAGAGAAGUUUGGGUUGACAACUAAAUGUGAGAGAGAGACAGACAGAGAGAAGAGGGAGAGCUGAUUCAGCUAGACCUUAGUCAUUCCAGCCAUCCUAGCUGAAGCACUAGCAUGUGAAAGAAGCCACCUUCUAACCUAUCAAUCAGAGCCCCCAAUUUUACUGACCUCAGUCAACACCAUGUGGAACAGAACUACCCCAGGGAGCCCAACCAACCCAUACAAUCAUGAGAAAUUAAAAACUGAUGUUGUAGCCUCCUGAGUUUUAAGGUAGUUUGUUACACAAAAAUACUGGAAUUUUGACCCACCUUCACCUCCAAUGCCAACCUAGUAAACCUGGAUAUAUCUUUCAAAAUUUGGCUCAAGUGUCAACUCUUUCAUGAACCCUCUGUAUCCUUUUCUUGCUCAUUCAAGCCCUAUUUUCUCUUCUCCUCCCCAAAAUUCCAUAGUACUUUGUAUUACAAACUAUGUGCUUACAACCCCCAAAGUCUCUGGGCAUCCAGAAGGCAGAGAUUUGGCUUAAUUCAUUUUUGCCUCUGCCUAGCCUAACACCCGGCACAUUUAGAUAUUUAGUUAUUGUUUGCUGAAUGAAUGGAUGCAUGAAGAAGAAAAUUUAACAGAUGAUAUCUACAGGCACAUCUGGCUCCAAAAUUGAAUCAUGUCAUCUAGCAAUGCUCAGUAAAGUUAACAUAAGCAAUUUC
rnacentral:lncRNA from 10 species